rnacentral:lncRNA from 1 species
CAUGAGCUUCACCACUCCCUCCACCUUCUCCACCAACUACCAGUCCCUGGGCUCUGUCCAGCCGCCCAGCUAUGGCACCUGGCCGGUCAGCAGCGCAGCCAGCAUCUAUGCAGGCACUGGGGGGCUUGGGAUCCCAGAUCUCCAUGUCCUGUUCUACCAGUUUCUGGGGCGGCUUGGGGUCUGGGGGCCUGGCCACAGAGAUGGCUGGGGGUCUGGCAGAAAUGGGGGGCAUCCAGAAUGAGAAGGAGACCAUGCAAAGCCUGAACGACCACCUGGACUACCUGGACAGAGUGAGGAACCUGGAGACCGAGAACUGGAGGCUGGAGAGCAAAAUCCAGGAGUAUCUGGAGAAGAGACCCCAUGUCAGAGACUGGGGCCAUUACUUCAAGACCAUCAAGGAACUGAGGGCUCAGAUCUUCGCAAAUACUGUGGACAAUGUCCACAUCAUUCUGCAGAUCGACAAUGCCCGUCUUGCUGCUGAUGACUUCAGAGUCAAGUAUGAGACAAGAGCUGGCCAUGCGCCAGUCUGUGGAGAGCAACAUCCAUGGGCUCUGCAAGGUCAUUGAUGACACCAAUGUCACUCUGCUGCAGCUGGAGACAGAGAUGGGCGCUCUCAAGGAGGAGCUGCUCCUCAUGAAGAAGAACCAUGAAGAGGAAGUAAAAGGCUUGCAAGUCCAGAUUGCCAACUCUGGGUUGGCCGUGGAGGUAGAUGCCCCCAAAUCUCAAGUCCUCGCCAAGGUCAUGGCAGACAUCAGGGCCCAAUAGGAUGAGCUGUCUCAGAAGAACUCAGAGAAGCUAGGCAAGUACUGGUCUCAGCAGACUGAGGAGAGCACCACAGUGGUCACCACACACUCUGCCAAGGUCAGAGCUGCUGAGAUGACACGGAGCUGAGACGUACAGUCCAGUGCUUGGAGAUUGACCUGGACUCAAUGAGAAAUCUGAAGACCAGCUUGUAGAACAGCCUGAGGGAGGUGGAGGCCCGCUACGCCCUGCAGAUGGAGCAGCUCAACAGAAUCCUGCUGUACUUGGAGUCAAAGCUGGCACAGAACUGGGCAGAGGGCCAGCGCAAGGUCCAGGAGUACAAGGACUUGCUGAACAUCAGGGUCAAGCUGGAGGCUGAGAUCGCCACCUACCGCCGCCUGCUGGAAGACAGCGAGGGCCUCAAUCUUGGUGAUGCCCUGGACAGCAGCAACUCCAUGCAAACCAUCCAAAAGACCACCACCCGCCAGAUAGUGGAUAGCAAAGUGGUGUCUGAGAUCAGUGACACCAAAGUUCUGAGACA